rnacentral:tRNA from 1 species
GUUUUAAUAAUUUAACAAAAAUAUUGGUCUUGUAAACCAAAAAUAAGGAUCAACCUUUUAAAGCU